rnacentral:tRNA from 1 species
AAAAUCCGUCGACUUUAAAAUCGUGAGGGUUCAAG